UGCAGUCGAGCGGUAGAGAGAAGCUUGCUUCUCUUGAGAGCGGCGGACGGGUGAGUAAUGCCUAGGAAUCUGCCUGGUAGUGGGGGAUAACGUUCGGAAACGGACGCUAAUACCGCAUACGUCCUACGGGAGAAAGCAGGGGACCUUCGGGCCUUGCGCUAUCAGAUGAGCCUAGGUCGGAUUAGCUAGUUGGUGAGGUAAUGGCUCACCAAGGCGACGAUCCGUAACUGGUCUGAGAGGAUGAUCAGUCACACUGGAACUGAGACACGGUCCAGACUCCUACGGGAGGCAGCAGUGGGGAAUAUUGGACAAUGGGCGAAAGCCUGAUCCAGCCAUGCCGCGUGUGUGAAGAAGGUCUUCGGAUUGUAAAGCACUUUAAGUUGGGAGGAAGGGCAGUUGCCUAAUACGUAACUGUUUUGACGUUACCGACAGAAUAAGCACCGGCUAACUCUGUGCCAGCAGCCGCGGUAAUACAGAGGGUGCAAGCGUUAAUCGGAAUUACUGGGCGUAAAGCGCGCGUAGGUGGUUUGUUAAGUUGGAUGUGAAAUCCCCGGACUCAACCUGGGAACUGCAUUCAAAACUGACUGACUAGAGUAUGGUAGAGGGUGGUGGAAUUUCCUGUGUAGCGGUGAAAUGCGUAGAUAUAGGAAGGAACACCAGUGGCGAAGGCGACCACCUGGACUAAUACUGACACUGAGGUGCGAAAGCGU
rnacentral:rRNA from 1 species